rnacentral:lncRNA from 10 species
GUGAGACAAAAAAUAUCAGUUGACAAAGAAUUAGAGCAAAUAAACAGCACAAAAGACAGAAAUGAAACAAAAGAAACAAAUGACACUAGAGACAUACAAAGAAAAGGAUAACCUGGAAGCCAAGAAAAUAUCCUCUAUAAUGUAUCCUAAAAAUGAAGCACCAAGGAAAGACUGUAUGAGGACACAGUGAGAAGAAGCUGUCUGCAAGCCAAGAAGACCCCUUUCCAAAAGCCAACCAUGCAGGCACCCUGAUCUUGGACUUUGCAGCCUCUAAAACUGUGAGAAAACAAAUUUCAGUUAUUUAUCCACCUAGUCUGUGACAUUUUGUUAUGGCAGCCUGAACAGAAUAAGACACCCACAAAGAAAGAAAGGUAAGAAUUACAGUAGAUGUCUUGUGAGAAACCAGGCAAGCAAGAAAACAAUAGAGUAACAUCAUUAAGGUGUUGAAAGAAAAAAAAAAAAAACACCUGUCAACCCACAAUUCUAUAUCCGGCAAAAAACAUACUUUAAAAGUGAAGGAAAAAUAAAGACUCUCAGACAAAUAAAAACUGAAGGAAUUCACUGCCAGCAGAUCUACCCUAUAAGAAAUGGUAAAGAAAGUUCUUCAGGCAUAAAGAAUAUAAUAUAGGUUAAGAACUUAGCUCUACACAAAGAAAUGAAGAGCAUCAGAAACAGAA